ensembl:snoRNA
CAACACUUGAACCUUCGUCGGCCAUGUGGGAGUCCAGUGCCUUUAGCCACCAUGCCACCUGCCAGCCCCAAGAAGUGAAAUAUUAAAACAAAAGCCAAGAGUCUUAUAAGCCCGGUGUGUAAAGACACAUUGUGAGCUAUAACUCAACAGCAAAACU